rnacentral:rRNA from 1 species
GAUGAACGCUGGCGGCGUGCCUAAUACAUGCAAGUCGAGCGAACGGACGAGACGCUUGUUUCUCUGAUGUUAGCGGCGGACGGGUGAGUAACAUGUGGAUAACCUACCUAUAAGACGGGGAUAACUUCGGGAAACCGGAUCUAAUCCCGGAUAAUAUUUUGAACCGCAUGGUUCAAAAGUGAAAGACGGUCUUGCUGUCUCUUCUAGAUGGAUCCGCGCUGCAUUAGCUAGUUGGUAAGGUAAAGGCUUACCAAGGCAACGAUGCGUAGCCGACGUGAGAGGGGGAUCGGCCACACUGGAACUGAGACACGGUCCAGACGCCUACGGUAGGCAGCAGUAGGGAAUCUGCCGCAAUGGGCGAAAGCCUGACGGAGCAGCGGCGCGUGUGUGGUGAAGGUCUUCGGAUCGUAAAACUCUGUUAUUAGGUAUGAACAUAUGUGUAAUUAACUGUGCACAGCUUGACGGUACCUAAUCAGAAAGCCACGGCUAACUACGUG